AGUGAACGCUGGCGUUAGGCCUAACACAUGCAAGUCGAACGGCAGCACAGUAAGAGCUUGCUCUUACGGGUGGCGAGUGGCGGACGGGUGAGGAAUACAUCGGAAUCUACUUUUUCGUGGGGGAUAACGUAGGGAAACUUACGCUAAUACCGCAUACGACCUACGGGUGGAAGCAGGGGAUCUUCGGACCUUGCGCGAUUGAAUGAGCCGAUGUCGGAUUAGCUAGUUGGCGGGGUAAAGGCCCACCAAGGCGACGAUCCGUAGCUGGUCUGAGAGGAUGAUCAGCCACACUGGAACUGAGACACGGUCCAGACUCCUACGGGAGGCAGCAGUGGGGAAUAUUGGACAAUGGGCGCAAGCCUGAUCCAGCCAUACCGCGUGGGUGAAGAAGGCCUUCGGGUUGUAAAGCCCUUUUGUUGGGAAAGAAAAGCAGCAGGUUAAUACCCCGCUGUUCUGACGGUACCCAAAGAAUAAGCACCGGCUAACUUCGUG
rnacentral:rRNA from 1 species